GCCAAACCUGGCAAGCGAGCCGUGUUCCUGAGGCAGUGCAGUCUGGAGCUGAUGGAUGGAGAAUUGCCCUUCCCACUUCCAAACCAGAGCAAAAAGCAAGGUCCUGGCCCUCUUCCAGCCAAAGGGGAAAGGGCCCCACCAAGCCUUGUUACCCACAGACAACAUGGUAAAGCUGAACACUAAAGGACCUUGGGGGCAUUAUUCUGGAAUUAAAAAGUUGACAGCUCCAUGGACAACAGAAUUAUUGUUCCUAACCUGAAUGACACUGAGCAAAAAGAAUGAAGAACGGUGUCACUAAAGUACUACUGAUGUUUGCCAAAA